AAUAUGACUGGUCACUGAUAUGGGGAUUAUCUCAGAAUCAUCCUUCUAUUUGCAAUCAGACAAUCGACUCAUUUAAGUAAAGCAACCAAUUAAUGGCUGUGUUUGGGGUUCCACCUUCCCUAAAGGAAGCUCUGAAGAGAAAUUAGAGAGGACAGCUAUUAGAGGAAGAUAUUGUUUCUGUAAUUGUUUUGUUCUGUAUGUAGUCUUUAAAUUAUUCAUAAGAUCAUUCCAAGGUAUGAAGCUUGGAGUAGUACUAUUUAUAUUUAAAUAAAAUUGUUUGAAAAUACAUUCAAUUUGAUGGUAUUUUUGUUGUUGGCUUAAAAUGAGAUCAUUAUCAAUUUUCCAUAAAGAUGGAGAAAUAUGGAUAGAAAGAGUAAAAGCUCACAUUAGUAUACAUUACACAUAGUAUACAUACAUAGUAAGCAAUACAUAGUAUUGUUUCUAAGUACAUUUAUUGUAUUAAACAAGGAUGCAUAUCUGUAUAUGGGAGUAUGGUAAUUCCAAAGACCAUUUAGAAAAGGAAUAGAUGCUUAGAUGCUUAGUUUCAAAGGCCAUUUUGCCUCAGUUGUUAGCUCUAUCCACCUAGUUUCUAGCUUUUCUUUUGACAGGACUUAAUUUUUUUCAAUCCUUAUCCUUUUUAAAGAAAAUUUUUUCUUAGGCACCUGCUGACAGUUAUCCUUUUCAAUGAAAGAUUAAGAUAUUUCCACUUUAUUACUUUCUAGAUAUUUGAAAUGAAGUGAAGCAUAAUUAAGAAUUGGUCCCUCCAAUUCAGCUACAGUCAGAACAAUAGAUUUAAUGAACAACAGUGACAAAAUUGAGGAGGUGGCUUCCUAUUAGUGAAGGAUAGGCUCUCUACUUCUUUUGGGGAUCCAUUCAGAUGGAAAGAUCUUGCCAUUUUUGACCUAAAUGCCACCAGUUGCAUUUAUCUUGUCUUGGACAUAUGGAGGGAAUCAGAUCUUCUUCCAGGGUCUUUUGGGCACAAGACAGGAAGUUUAUGAAGAAAGUUCAUCAGAGCUGCAACACAGACACUAGACAUUCAACGAGAAAUGGGUCCUCCUUUGGGAACGAGGUGCUGGCAAUUUCUCUAAGGCCAACUUGUAAGGCACAGCUGGUAGAAAUCAAGCUGGAUUUAAAGCAUCUCAAUCUUUUCCAAUACUGGACAAUUCAUGGUUUACCAGCUGAGGUCUCUGCUCCAACUGAUUUUUGAAUGGACACAACUGGCCCCUCUCUGGAUGGAGAGACAAUUCAGUGGACUUAAUACAGUCAGAAUAGAAGAGGAUGUAUUUGUUGUUAAAGACCAAAUAACUCCUUUGUUUGAUUCUGGAUCAACAGAAGCUACAAGACCUAUUCCUGCCCUUCCUUUCUGGCUCCAUGUGGCCACAGAAGCAAAACCAAUGUCUGCAGUGCAGCCUUGUUAAAAGAUGCUUUUGUCAAUGGUUUAGUGAAAGUCUGUAUUUAAAGAGAUAUUUUGUUCAGGAGAGUUGCUAGAAUUCAUUGCUUUGUAAAGAAAAAUGAAGUGUAUUGGGGUGAAAAGCAAUUGGCUUAAAUUUUUUUGAAUCAAAGGUAAUUUUUCUAUUUCCUCCUGCAACAUUGCCUCAGUGGGGUGGAGGGGAUUAUGUAGCUCCAUGAAACUAUGAGCUAAGUCAUGCAAGGGUACCCAGAAUGGACAGGUCACAGAGGAAAAUCCUGACAAAAGGUGAUCCUCUGGAGAAGGAAAUGGCAAAACAUUUCAGUAUCUUUGCCAAAAACUGCAUGGACAGUAUUCUAUAGUCCAUGGGGCCGUGAAGAAUUGGAUAUGACUGAAUGACUGAACAACACAUUUUUUUUCUAUGCAUUAGAUGGUUUGGUCCUGGCAGAACUAAAACUUUUUGCAAUGUUAUAAAGAUGCUCUAAAUAAAAAAAAUGGACUCGUAUAUAUUAAUCGACA
rnacentral:lncRNA from 1 species